AAUAAUAAAUUAAAGAUUUAACCCGUAUUGAAACGGUGGAUUAAUUAUAUUUAUUUUUUAUUAAUGUUGAUUCAAAAACCCGUCACUCCAAAUCCGUCUUGCCAAAAAGCUAUUUAU
rnacentral:sRNA from 1 species